UCGUGCUAAGCGGGGAGCUAGCGGUGCCCUGAACCCGCAAUCCGCUAUAGCGGGGCCGAAUUCCCAACCGAGGCUCUCCGGUCUUGAGUAUGCGCGCGGGAAAGUGGCGUUGAAGGUCGGGUCCUGCGCAACGGGAAUUUGCGAACCCCGUCAGGUCCGGAAGGAAGCAGCGGUAAGCAAGCCCUCCCGUGUGCCGCAGACAAACCGGCCCGGAGCUAACUGCCCGGGUAGCGCUCGGGGCCGGGAGUCGAAGGCGGGUGCACGA
rnacentral:SRP_RNA from 1 species